rnacentral:rRNA from 1 species
GCUUAACACAUGCAAGUCGAGCGAGAAUCGUUUUGCUGAAGGCUUCGGUCUGAAGCAGAAUGAGGAAAGCGGCGAACGGGUGAGUAACGCGUGGGCAACCUGGCCUUAAGAACAGGAUAGCCCCCGGAAACGGGGAGGAAUACUUUAUGAGAAUAGAAAAGGGCAUCCUACUUCUAGUCAAAGCGCAAGCGAUUAAGGAUGGGCCCGCGUAUCAUUAGCUAGUUGGUGGGAUAACAGCCCACCAAGGCAACGAUGAUUAGCCGGUCUGAGAGGACGAACGGCCACAUUGGAACUGAGAGACGGUCCAAACUCCUACGGGGGGCAGCAGUGGGGAAUAUUGCGCAAUGGAGAAGAACUCUGACGCAGCAAUACCGCGUGAGCGAAGAAGGUCUUCGGAUCGUAAAGCUCUGUUAUCAGGGAAGAAGAAAAUGACGGUACCUGAUGAGCAAGUCCCGGCUAACUACGUGCCAGCAGCCGCGGUAAGAC